GACCUCAAAUCAGGUAGGACUACCCGCUGAACUUAAGCAUAUCAAUAAGCGGAGGAAAAGAAACUAACAAGGAUUCCCCUAGUAACUGCGAGUGAAGCGGGAAAAGCUCAAAUUUAAAAUCUGGCAGUCUUUGGCUGUCCGAGUUGUAAUCUAGAGAAGUAUUAUCCGCGCUGGACCGUGUACAAGUCUCCUGGAAUGGAGCGUCAUAGAGGGUGAGAAUCCCGUCUUUGACACGGACUGCCAGGGCUUUGUGAUGUGCUCUCAAAGAGUCGAGUUGUUUGGGAAUGCAGCUCAAAAUGGGUGGUAAAUUCCAUCUAAAGCUAAAUAUUGGCGAGAGACCGAUAGCGAACAAGUACCGUGAGGGAAAGAUGAAAAGAACUUUGGAAAGAGAGUUAAACAGUACGUGAAAUUGCUGAAAGGGAAACGCUUGAAGUCAGUCGCGUUGGUCAGGGAUCAACCUUGCUUUUGCUUGGUGUACUUUCUGGUUGACGGGUCAGCAUCAAUUUUGACCAUUGGAAAAAGGUCAAGGGAAUGUAGCAUCUUUGGAUGUGUUAUAGCCCUUGGUUGCAUACAAUGAUUGGGAUUGAGGAACUCAGCACGCCGCAAGGCCGGGUU
rnacentral:rRNA from 1 species